UACGAAGGGGCUAGCGUUGCUCGGAAUCACUGGGCGUAAAGGGUGCGUAGGCGGGUCUUUAAGUCAGGGGUGAAAUCCUGGAGCUCAACUCCAGAACUGCCUUUGAUACUGAGGAUCUUGAGUUCGGGAGAGGUGAGUGGAACUGCGAGUGUAGAGGUGAAAAUUCGUAGAUAUUCGCAAGAACACCAGUGGCGAAGGCGGACUCACUGGCCCGAUACUGACGCUGAGGCACGGAAAGCGAUGGGGAG
rnacentral:rRNA from 1 species